CUUGUGUGCGCGGAGGAGAAGCACACUUCACCGACAAGUUGUUCCCGCUAUCCUCGCUGCCACUGCCAGUGACGGAACUUGGUGUGGACAACAUGCUGGAAAGAGAGUGUUCAUCCCUAUGAUCCCUUUGGCGCCCUCGGAGGACAUUUCACUUCCUUUCAAGUUGAAGAGGAAACAGUUCCCUGGAUCGAUCCUGGAGAGCCCCUUCCGUAACCAAGUCCCCUCCCCACUCGGAGUCCUCCGCCACUGACGCACGGGUAAGCGCCAGAGAUGCGGUGCAUCCACGCGGUUCAACGAGCUGCCGCUGUCGUAGAUAACCAAGACGUACACGGAGAUAAGCAAGAUUCAGUGUGCUGCACUGCCCCCACGCGCUCUGAGGGUGCGAUGUCCCCGACGUGUCCAAGACAAGGUCCAGGAAGACCCUCGCCUUCGUUAUCCUGUAAGAGGAAAUGUACUAUUGUUCUCAUCAAUUUCUUUCAUACCAUGUGUAUGGAAUUAGGACUGGUGACAACAACAUGUGGAGUGGCACAACAAGUGGUGCUGUGGAGUACCG